rnacentral:rRNA from 1 species
GACGUAGGGCGCGAGCGUUGUCCGGAUUUAUUGGGCGUAAAGAGCUCGUAGGCGGCUUGUCGCGUCGUCCGUGAAAACUUGGGGCUCAACCCCAAGCUGCGGUCGAUACGGGCAGGCUAGAGUUCGGUAGGGGAGACUGGAAUUCCUGGUGUAGCGGUGAAAUGCGCAGAUAUCAGGAGGAACACCGGUGGCGAAGGCGGGUCUCUGGGCCGAUACUGACGCUGAGGAGCGAAAGCGUGGGGAGCAAACAGG